UAACGAAUAUUCCGCAAUGGGCGAAAGCCUGACGGAGCAAUGCCGCGUGUGGGAUGAAGCGCCUUCGGUGUGUAAACCACUGUCAGAAUCUAGGAACACUGACCAGAUUCAAAGGAAGGACCGGCUAAUUCCGUGCCAGCAGCCGCGGUAAUACGGAAGGUCCAAGCGUUAAUCGGAAUUACUGGGCUUAAAGCGUGCGCAGGCGGACCGGCAAGCGUCUUGUGAAAUCCCUCGGCUCAACCGGGGAACUGCAGGGCGAACUGCCGGUCUUGAGACAGGUAGGGGCCGACGGAACUAUCGGUGGAGCGGUGAAAUGCGUAGAUAUCGAUGGGAACGCCAGUGGCGAAGGCGGUCGGCUGGGCCUGUUCUGACGCUCAUGCACGAAAGCGUGGGGAGCGAACGGGAUUAGAUACCCCCGUAGUCC
rnacentral:rRNA from 1 species